CACCGGCGGCUCGAGUGGUGGCCACUUUUAUUGGGUCUAAAGCGGCCGUAGCCGGCUUGGCAAGUCCCCUGGGAAAUCUGGCGGCUUAACCGUCAGGCGUCCAGAGGAUACUGCCAGGCUUGGGACCGGGAGAGGUGAGAGGUCCCUCAGGGGUAGGGGUGAAAUCUUGUGAUCCCUGAGGGACCACCAGUGGCGAAGGCGUCUCACUAGAACGGGUCCGACGGUCAGGGACGAAAGCUGGGGGCACGAACCGG
rnacentral:rRNA from 1 species